AGAGGUAAUUACAUCUCAGUGAAAUUCAAGUCAAUUUUGCCAGCAUGCUAGCUUUAUAUUGUGCUUUUAUCCAUCUGUGAGAUUCUUUGACCUGACAUGGGUUUAUUGGAAUCUAAAUAAAACAAACAAACAAACAAAAAAGACUAAGAAUGCUUAUCCUUAAUUUUGAUUUAUCCCUAUAAUCAUAUGUAAGCCUAGAUCCUCUAUUCAGGAUCUCUCUAGUCAGGAGAAUUUCCGAUCCUAUCUGCCUAGUCCAGUAGACUUGCUUCAUCACUGCUACAGUAGAAUUUGCUGAUGGGUCACUGUCCAUUAAUACAGUUCACUGACCUCGUAGUCAGCUGCACCUCCAUCUUUCUCUUCCCUGCUUCUCACUGCUCAUCGCCAGACACAAGGAAGCGGUAACAAGCUAGGACUGCAAGGCCCUCCUACGGAGGUCUUCAUUGCCUCCUUUUUUUCCAAAGCUAGGACGUGAUUCCACAGGAACUGAGCUGGUGAUCAAGUUUUUAAUGCCUGGAUUUCAGGGAAUCGCAAGAAGGCCGGCAUUUUCUCAUGACAAGUCUCACAACAGAAACUCAUGGAGCAAUCUAGCAAUGUAGAUCUUAGAAGAAGGAAACAAGAGGCAGUUACAGUGGCAGUGAUCAAGAGUUACUACAGCAGCAUUGACAGUUUGAUGGCUUAUGAGUGAGUAAGGUACAACUGGCACCAUAUAGAGAACAAUGAAGCACUUCAGCUCCAGCCAGAAGUAUCCAAUCUGAUCCCUACAAGGGACACUAAUGCAGUAGUAUUUUCUACCUGUGCAUUGUAAGCUGUCAAGGGGCAUCAAGGGAGCAUGUUGCUUUCAAGUGCCAAACUGGCAUACCUUCCUGUACUAGCCCUUUUCUUCAAAAACCUACAAAGAUGUAGAUGUGAUGAUUCAGACUUCUGAAGGUGCACAACGACAGUGGUGAGUGGUAAGGUCACCAGCUGCAAUAUGGGAAAUUCCCAUCAAAUACGAGGAAAUGACAAAAAUUGGAAGAGACUGCUUAGAGGGGAUGUGGAAUCUCCAUCCUUGGAGAAAGAGGGACACAAGAACACUGCUGUAGAUUCCAUUCCAGCUCAUAGAAAUCUGUGCAACGACAGAGUGAAAGCAAGUCUUGGAACCAACCAGCCCAAGAAAGAGCAAUGCAGAAUGAAUUAAUUCUCCCUGAGCUACUGGACUGCUUACGAAUGUACAAACCAUUGCAGAGGAUGAGUCUAAGGAUCCAUCCAGAAUGGUACCUUUCUUUCUGAUACAGCCAACAGCAGGUGACUCACAGGAACAAAACACGGCAAAAAUGUAGUCAAUGUGGGGAGGAGAGAAGACAUACAGAUUGAGAUUUUCCUGCAGCAGAAGUGCUGCCUUUGUGUUUAUUAGCUUUUUGUGAAUUUUUCUUCAAUUACUUCUUCCACUUGCCUUUUAAACCUGUGUAAACUUUUAGCAUUCACAGUGUCUUUAGGUGAGGAGUCCCACAACUUAACUACAUGCUAUGUGAGAAAGUUUCUGAGCAGAACCAAGGCAAAUGCUUAACCACAAAACCAAAUUUCAUCAUCUUUCCUGUGGAGGGCUAUACUUUUUUCUGUAAUUAGUUCAGCUAUGUAAAGCCUUACCUUUCUGAAGUAAAUAGCUCACAUUUCAUGAAACUAGAAUCUUAUUACAUGAUUUCACCAAGUAUUAAAAAAGCAGAUUGUGAUACCCAUACUCACAAAGUUUCACACAAUUAAAUUUCACUUUUGUAAAAAUCAGAUGUCUAACAUUUAAAGGUUCACAAGACAUACACCAGGUGUUUACUCAUCAGCCUCUUAAGUUCUGCUCCUACGUAUGCCUGAGAACCAUCAUCUGGACUACACUGAAACUCAGUAUAUUUUUAUUUCUUCCACCUGUUAGAGGUUUGUACGUUAGAGGUUAUCACAAUGAAUUCUGGCUCCUGAAAGCCUAUGAAAGCUUUCCAGCUUUUGCUAGCAUGGCAUCUUCCAUGAGGAUACACAGGAUGGGAAAGUAACCAGCACCAGUUAAUUCUGACUCAGUGGGUAUUUACUUGCAUUGGCUAGCACAGCUGCCAAUUUCCCAGUCAUGCUGAAGACUCACAUCAUUCACCAAGUAUCACUGUCACUAUUAAGCAAAUUGGAGUGCUUCCAUCUGUGAACCUAAGCCAG